AAUGGUUGCGUUGUAAUGACAGCGGAAAAUCACUAAUUGUUUCCGUGUGCCCUAUGUCUAUGAGCAUGAGAAGCGACAAAGAUUUUGUUUAAAAUUGAAUGUCUAUAAAACAAAGUGGUACCGUGCUUCUCGGAUCCAUGAAGAAAGCAUACAAGGAGGCGCUCUAAGGGUAUCCGAGAGAGGAGAAAAGUGUGGGGCAAGUGGCAAACGAGGCUUCAGAAGACCAAUUUCCAUCGUUUCAAAUGGUAUGGACAACCGUAAAGCAAGAACUGCCAUAUACCCAUAAUGGUUGCUAAUUUGAGAUACACUUCUUGGUUGGAAUAGGAACUUUCCUCACAUUUCUUCCACCAUGGUCGGAGCAGACACUGGAGCUGCCAUGGAGUCGCAAACGCAAUGCAAGUGGGGACAGCUUUGAGAUGGGAUAGCAGUUCUACAGCAGCGUUGGUCCAGUUGCUGUGGCGCACCGCACCAGCAUUGACACCAUGCGACACGGAUGAAGACAAGAGAUCAGUCCUGUACCCAUAACGAAAUGUCCAGGAGCUUCGACGGCCAAACACUGUAACGAUGAGUUGGCCAGCGCUCUUCUCAGUAUCAAAUAGCUUAGCCUAACCUUGGCUGUGCACAAACGAGAGUAGCGCUGUUGUAGCAGCAGGUGCGUUGUACGGCAAAGGCGGCCGUUCUUUGCAAGAGGACCUAUGCCUACAUGGGGGAACCUACGAAGCACCAGAUGACUAAUUUCGUAAAAUCAUUUAAUGUAUCAUAUGUGAAGAUUUAUUUAUGUAAUGUGAAGAACCAGCGAAGUCGAAGUGUCGCUAUGGGUGGAGGAAAUGUAUCACGAGGACGUUUGUUUUCAAACAGAUCCCUCCGCUAUUCGCGCUGAGAAAUCAACUAGCGGAUAGAAGACCCCGCUGGCGUCUCGAUAGUUUGCUGAUAUGCGUAGUUUUACUGUGUUUCUACUUUCUAGUAUCAGUUGUUGCUUCUUCAGUUGGUCUUGGAAGCAAUGUGUGACACAUUUGCUAUAAGUACGAAAUGCAGUUACUAAAUGUGCUUCGUCCAAUCUUGUCUGUUUGACCUUAUACGACGAACCACUAGAGGUGUUCCAGUACCCAAGAGCGACGCAAGUAGCUAUUGAAUACGGGUGUUUGUGCAAUCGCAAAAUGCGAUACUCUACCCCAACUUCUAUAGGGGAAGUUCUGUGAAGGACAUAAUGACAAGCCUCACGGUUACACUCGCCAGCGGCAUGGCCGAGCGGGUUAACGUGUCCUGCUCGUUGGUGGUAGCCAAGGCCGUGCUGAAGACUGGGAGGUGGUGGGUUCGAAUCCUACCACCGGAUGUGCUGUCUGCGGUUUUCCCUGGGUUUUCCGAAGACUUCCCAGACGAAUGUCGGCACAGCUCCCCCAGAAGUCGGUCCUGGACGCAACCCCCAAGUCCCCUACUUCUUCCUGCUGUCCUCUCUCCAUAUGUCCACAUCUGUACGCCGCUCAUAGCCACAGUUGCGUCGCGGCGCUAACACGGAAUAAAAAAAAU